rnacentral:tRNA from 3 species
CGGGGCGUGGCGCAGCUCGGUAGCGCGUUGCACUGGGGGUGCAGAGGUCACAGGUUCAAAUCCUGUCGCCCCGACCA